rnacentral:rRNA from 1 species
CAAUAGCGUAUAUUAAAGUUGUUGCAGUUAAAAAGCUCGUAGUUGGAUUUCUGGGAGGGUGCCGCCGUCCGGCGUGUCCGUGUGCAGUGGCGCCCUUCCAUCCUUCUGUUAGCGUCUCUUGGCAUUCAUUUGCUGGUGGCGGGCUCAGAUAUUUUACCUUGAGAAAAUUAGAGUGUUUCAGGCAGGCUAGGCCGGAAUACAUUAGCAUGGAAUAAUGGAAUAGGACUACGGUCUCUUUGUUGGUUUGAGGGACUGCAGUAAUGAUUAAUAGGGAUAGUUGGGGGCAUUAGUAUUUAAUUGUCAGAGGUGGAAUUCUCAGAUUUGUUAAAGACUAACUUAUGCGAAAGCAUUUGCCAAGGAUGUUUUCAUUAG